AUUAAAAAAAAAAAGCAUCAGUCUAGGCUAACAGAUCACUCCCAAGCAUGCAGAUAAACUGGGCAUGGUUUUCAGUGGCACCCAGCCAUGGAUGUCUGGAUUUCCCCACAAGUUUAAUUUACUUUUUGUUUUUUUCCCUUAACUUCUUUCUGAGAUUUUUAGGAAAAGAAGCUAACUCUCCUUUCACUUGUAGAUUUUCCAGUGUAGGAACUGGGAAGGGUGGCUGCAGAGGAGAGCAGCAACUCCAGACACACAUGUUGUACACUACAAGGAACCAAACAGAGCAAUUCUAGGACAAUGGGGCCUUUGAAAAUACUGAUUUAUUCUGCAUCUUUUUCACCAUCCUGUGUUGAAGGCGGCCCCUAUCCUCCUUCCUGAGCAGAGCUGCAGCCAUAUGAUCCCGGUGCACUGAAGGGGACACUCUGCAGGACAGAACACUGAAUGCAUUAUGUAGAUCAUUCCUACUAAAGGGGACUCGAUGAAUGCCCCACGAGGGGAAAUGAAACCAUCCCAAAUGGUGGGAUCUUCAGGACACAAGGGAAAGAAAAUCCAGUUAUGAGUCUGCAGUCAUUGAUGCCACUGGAAAAGAAGCUUCCCUGCCCACAGCAACCAGCAGCAACAGGGCCCAUGGACUUCCACAUAGUUCCCAGUAGCCUCUCAGACCAUGGACAUCAAUAUAGCCUCCAGUGCCAGCACAGACAUCAACACGGCCUCCAGUGCAAGCACGGAUCUCAGAAAUCUUUCAAUAAGACUUAACGCAGAAAAUUAACCUUCUUUGACAUCUUUCUGCUGCUCAGAGUGAGGGUGGUUUUGUGAUUGGGCUGCACAUCCAGUGCUGGACCUGCUUUAGUCCCAGGGCACUACACCACUCUAUCGUUAGCUGCCUUGCUGGCACCCUGGGCAUGACCAUCCUGUUUGCAGCCUGAGGGCAUGUCCCUGUGCUCGCCUACUCGCAUCAUGGCAAGCAGCAAGAACAGCAGCAGUAGUGGAUGCUCCAGGGCCUAGCAGGCCUGGUGGUGGCCUGAGGCUCCCUGUGGCCUGAGGACCAGCUCUGCAUGGCAGUGACAUGCUCUUUUGUCAGCUGCCACCCUGCUCCCUAUCACACAUAUCAUUGCCUAUUCUUUAGGUGAAGACACCUCAGCUGAUGCUAUAACUUGGC
rnacentral:lncRNA from 1 species